CAAAAGCUAAAACGGCAGUGAUUGCCAAAUGAUUUUCAAAAAAAUUGACAGUGAUUGUCGAUUGUGAACAAAAGCUAAAACGGCAGUGAUUGCCAAGUGAUUUUCAAAAAAAUUGACAGUGAUUGUCGAUUGUGAACAAAAGCUAAAACGGCAGUGAUUGCCAAGUGAUUUUCAAAAAAAUUGACAGUGAUUGUCGAUUGUGAACAAAAGCUAAAACGGCAGUGAUUGCCAAGUGAUUUUUCAAAAAAAUUUACAGUGAUUGUCGAUUGUGAACAAAAGCUAAAACGGCAGUGAUUGCCAAGUGAUUUUUCAAAAAAUCGACAGUGAUUGUCGAUUGUGAACAAAAGCUAAAACGGCAGUGAUUGCCAAAUGAUUUUUCAAAAAUUGACAGUGCUUGUCGAUUGCGAACAAAAACAAAACGACAGUGAUUGCCAAGUAAUUUAAAAAAAAAAUUAACAGUGCUUGUCGAUUGCGAACAAAAAUAAAUUGGCGGUGAUAGCCAGUGAAAACUCUAAAAGAGUUUCAAUUUACCAGUGUCCGGUGUCACAAACAGUUGAAAACGAACCAACUGCAGCAGCGAAGUAGCUGUUGAACAAAGACCUGGGAGCGACGGGCGGUCGAACCAGGCACCACACCAGCAGGGGAGAACUGACAACCAGUCAGCAUCAACAGCAGCAACGGUAGCAGCAUCAGUAGAAAACCAUCGCAGUAGGAGCGAAACCAGAGUGACUUAGUACAAGACGACUUCACCGGAAACAGUUGACCUUAAAAGUAUAUGCAGUACAAUCAUACAUCAUAAACAAAUCGGAGAUAAGUAUUCGUUUUUUUUACAUCAUUACAUCAGUCACCUCGGUCGGGAAACUAUUUUCAUAUUCCCGCCAAGGAUAAACAUCAGUUAUAUUCUAUACAUUACAACACUUUUGACCUUUUUCCUUGUCUUUACAGCUGGCAUGAUCCCAGACUCGUAAUACUUGUUUACCAAAAACCAUCCAAGCUAUGGGAUUGAAGGUAACGACGAGUUUGUCGCUAAGAUUGGAAUCUUUCUUCAACACAUCAUCGACCGUAAAAAACUUAAGGGACACGAGAGAACAAAAUACGGAUGAAACGUGCUAAUUCUACCGUCACUCUGCUAAUCAGCUGCUAAUCAGCUAAUGCAAAUCAGAGCGAUGCAGCAGGAAGAGGAACGGGAACUUGCUUUGGAAAUGCUCAUCAAAUUGAGGUGGUUGAGGCUGCGAUUAAAAUUUGCCUCUUGUACGCAGUUUAUAGAAUGAUUCCAACGAGAAUUAUUGAUGUUGUUUAUAGAAUAAGUUAUUAGUAUAAUGUAUUCUAAGUAUGUAGAAUUAAA